rnacentral:rRNA from 1 species
GAACCGUCCAAACGGUUAUUCGGAAUCACUGGGCUUGAAGGGUGCGUAGGCGGUGCGUAAGUUGGGGUGUGAAAUCCCUCGGCUCAACCGAGGAACUGCGCCCAAUACUGCGGUACUAGAGGGAGAUAGGGGUAAGCGGAACUGAUGGUGGAGCGGUGAAAUGCGUUGAUAUCAUCAGGAACACCGGUGGCGAAAGCGGCUUACUGGAUCUCUUCUGACGCUGAGGCACGAAAGCCAGGGGAGCGAACGGGAUUAGAUACCCCGGUAGUCCUGGCUGUAAACGAUGAGCACUUGGUCGAAGACUCCUCCAUAGGUUUUCGGCCGUAGCGAAAGUGUUAAGUGCUCCGCCUGGGGAGUAUGGUCGCAAGGCUG